rnacentral:rRNA from 1 species
UAGGGAAUCUUCGGCAAUGGGGGGAACCCUGACCGAGCAACGCCGCGUGAGUGAAGAAGGUUUUCGGAUCGUAAAGCUCUGUUGUUAAGGAAGAACGAGUGUGAGAAUGGAAAGUUCAUGCUGUGACGGUACUUAACCAGAAAGGGACGGCUAACUACGUGCCAGCAGCCGCGGUAAUACGUAGGUCCCGAGCGUUGUCCGGAUUUAUUGGGCGUAAAGCGAGCGCAGGCGGUUAGAAAAGUCUGAAGUGAAAGGCAGUGGCUCAACCAUUGUAGGCUUUGGUAACUGUUUAACUUGAGUGCAGAAGGGGAGAGUGGAAUUCCAUGUGUAGCGGUGAAAUGCGUAGAUAUAUGGAGGAACAACGGUGGCGAAAGCGGCUCUCUGGUCUGUAACUGACGCUGAGGCUCGAAAGCGUGGGGAGCGAACAGG